GCCCUGUUUCAAAUAUUUAAGAGUAGAACAGCCACAGAAGAUGAAAGCGUGCCAAAUCAGAAUAUAUAUGUCAUACCUUAGAAUUAGGAAAUAACUGAGUCUUUCCUCUUCCUUGACUCCCUCUUUCCCUUUGAUAAAAACUCCAUAUUUUUCUCUUGAUUACCUCCCCAAAUAGUUUUAGCAUAUUUCAGAAUGUUAUUUUUGUUUUGUACUGAAUUAUAACUCUUUUGAUCUGAGAGUUUCUGUUCUUUAAGAAGCAUCAAGAAAGAAAGGUGAUAGCCAUAAAGACUAUGAGCUCCUAAGGAUAAAAGCCCUGUUUUAAUAAACUUUAUGGCCUCAGAGUCUAGCACAGUGCCUGCCUCAGAGUUGGCAAUCAGUUGAUGUUCUUUUUUCUUUCUUUAGACACGUUACCAUUCCGUUUACGUUGGAUGUAGAGAAGAACUGAAUUGUCACCAACACGACCAUGUGUGAUUCAUCUUUUUAUUCCCAUUGUAUGUCACAGUGCCCCAAAUAUAAGAGGAUCGCCAUAAAUGCUCAUUGAACUGAACUCAACUAUUUAAGGCUGUGUGAUUCCUUCCUAUUAGGGUAAGUGUUUCUUGAGAACCACUUUUUAUUAUUUAGCAUAUCAUGGAAAUUUGGCUUUGCUAAACACCUCAUAACCACAAUUAUUAUUUUAUUACUUUUUUAUUCCUUUGGGUUUCUUGUUCACGGUACACAAUGCUCUCUAGUGUGACAGAUCUUGGCAUUAGCAAUUCCAAAUCCCAGCUCUCUCUCGUCAUCUAGCCCAGUGUAAUGACAUGAGUACUUGAGAUUCUGGCUGAGUAAGGAAAGUGGAUAUAAGUGAAGCAGACAAGGUAGAAAUGAACAGAGCGACAUCUGGAGAGGACCAUAGCCAGGACUCAAAUCGUGCCUGUCUCCAGCUGACCUCCACCCUCAUUGAUCAGCACAUGAUGGACCGUGGGAUUCUUCACACAGGCUGGCAAGAGUCUGUCCCCAGUCAACCUCCAGUCCCUCCAGAUGGUGAGGUGACGACUUCAAAGUUUCUUCAGGGAGGAACGCUGGCCACCGACGUCGGGACUGGCUUUUUCACGAAGUCCGUAGCUUCCCAGAUAUGUCUCGUUUAAAGUUCUAGAAGGGAAAAUAAAUAAAUAAAUAAAUAAAUAAAUAAAUAAAUA
rnacentral:lncRNA from 12 species